UCGAUCCCGAAGGUCGAGUAAGGCCUCUACAAGGGAGUUCUCAAGGAACAAGGAAGAUAUCACUCGAUGAAAGAAGCCCGUGGGGAGAAGGUUGGAACUGGUAGAUGAAGACUCCGAGGAAGAAAUGGCUUCACCUGAGGAAGCAGAUCAAACAGAGAAUGGAGGUGGUGAUGAUUUGGAAUCAGAGAAGUGCGCAACUCGAAACGAGUACUACAAACUACUGAAACGCAACGAGUUUUUAGGAACUCGAUACCCUCAUCCUGAGACCAUGGAGAGACUCGGCAUAUAUGAUGAUGUAGAGUACAUGUUUAAGCAGUGC
rnacentral:sRNA from 1 species